rnacentral:rRNA from 1 species
UGGGGAAUUUUGCACAAUGGGGGAAACCCUGAUGCAGCGACGCCGCGUGAUUUAGAAGGCCUUCGGGUUGUAAAAAUCUUUUCUACGGGAAGAAAAUGACAGUAACAUAGGAAUAAGGACCGGCCAAUUACGUGCCAGCAGCCGCGGUAAUACGUAAGGUCCGAGCGUUGUCAGGAAUCAUUGGGCGUAAAGGGUACGUAGGCGGGUAAGCAAUUUAGAAGUGAAAUCCUAUAGCUCAACUAUAGUAAGCUUUUAAAACUGCUCAUCUUGAGGUAUGGAAGGGAAAGUGGAAUUCCUAGUGUAGCGGUGAAAUGCGCAGAUAUUAGGAGGAAUACCGGUGGCGAAGGCGACUUUCUGGCCAUAACCUGACGCUGAGGUACGAAAGCGUGGGUAGCAAACAGG